rnacentral:rRNA from 1 species
AGAGUUUGAUCCUGGCUCAGAAUCAACGCUGGCGGCGCGCUUAACACAUGCAAGUCGCACGAGAAAGGGAGCAAUCCUGAGUAAAGUGGCGUACGGGUGAGUAACACGUGGAUCAUCUACCUUUUAGUGGGGAAUACCCCCGGGAAACUGGGGACAAUACCGCAUAAGCUCGUGAGAGGAAAGCAGCAAUGCGCUGAAAGAGGAGUCCGCGGCUGAUUAGCUAGUUGGUGAGGUAACGGCCCACCAAGGCGAAGAUCGGUAGCCGGCCUGAGAGGGCACACGGCCACACUGGCACUGAAAUACGGGCCAGACUCCUACGGGAGGCAGCAGUGGGGAAUCUUGCACAAUGGAGGAAACUCUGAUGCAGCGACGCCGCGUGAACGAUGAAGCCCUUCGGGGUGUAAAGUUCUUUCGACGGGAACGAUAAUGACGGUACCCGAAGAAGAAGCUGCGGCUAACUACGUGCCAGCAGCCGCGGUAAUACGUAGGCAGCAAGCGUUGUUCGGAAUUACUGGGCGUAAAGAGUGCGUAGGCGGUGCUCUAAGUCUGUUGUGAAAUCUCCCGGCUUAACUGGGAGGGUGCGGCGGAAACUGGAGUGCUUGAGGGUGGGAGAGGUAAGCGGAAUUCCUGGUGUAGCGGUGAAAUGCGUAGAUAUCAGGAGGAACACCUGGUGUAGACAGCUUACUGGACCACUUCUGACGCUGAGGCACGAAAGCGUGGGUAGCAAACAGGAUUAGAUACCCCAGUAGUCC